AUUGAACGCUGGCGGCAGGCCUAACACAUGCAAGUCGAACGAGUGGCGGACGGGUGAGUAAUGUCUGGGAAACUGCCUGAUAGAGGGGGAUAACUACUGGAAACGGUAUCUAAUACCGCAUACCAUCAGAUGUGCCCAGUUGGGAUUAGCUAGUGGGUGGGGUAACGGAGCACCCAGGCGACGAUCCCUAGCUGGUCUGAGAGGAUGACGAGCCACACGAGAACUGAUACACGGUCCAGACUCCUACGAGAGGCAGCAGUGGGGAAUAUGGCACAAUGGGCGCAAGACUGAUGCAGCCAUGCCGCGUGUAUGAAGAAGGCCUUCGGGUUGUAAAGGACUUUCAGCGGGGAGGCGUUACCCGCAGAAGAAGCACCGGCUAACUCCGUGCCAGCAGCCGCGGUAAUAC
rnacentral:rRNA from 1 species